UUUGCACUGCUUCCAACCGUCUGUUUAUUCGGACAA
rnacentral:rRNA from 1 species